UACGUAGGGCGCAAGCGUUGUCCGGAAUUAUUGGGCGUAAAGAGCUCGUAGGCGGCGUGUCGCGUCGGCCGUGAAAACCUGCAGCUUAACUGUGGGCUUGCGGUCGAUACGGGCAUCACUGGAGUUCGGCAGGGGAGACUGGAAUUCCUGGUGUAGCGGUGAAAUGCGCAGAUAUCAGGAGGAACACCGGUGGCGAAGGCGGGUCUCUGGGCCGAUACUGACGCUGAGGAGCGAAAGCGUGGGGAGCAAACAGG
rnacentral:rRNA from 1 species